rnacentral:rRNA from 1 species
GAUGAACGCUGGCGGCGUGCUUAACACAUGCAAGUCGAACGAAGCACUUUAUUUGAUUUCCUUCGGGACUGAUUAUUUUGUGACUGAGUGGCGGACGGGUGAGUAACGCGUGGGUAACCUGCCUUGUACAGGGGGAUAACAGUUGGAAACGGCUGCUAAUACCGCAUAAGCGCACAGCAUCGCAUGAUGCAGUGUGAAAAACUCCGGUGGUAUAAGAUGGACCCGCGUUGGAUUAGCUAGUUGGUGAGGUAACGGCCCACCAAGGCGACGAUCCAUAGCCGACCUGGGAGGGUGCCCGGCCACAUUGGGACUGAGACACGGCCCACACUCCUACGGGAGGCAGCAGUGGGGAAUAUUGCACAAUGGGCGAAAGCCUGAUGCAGCGACGCCGCGUGAGCGAAGAAGUAUUUCGGUAUGUAAAGCUCUAUCAGCAGGGAAGAUAAUGACGGUACCUGACUAAGAAGCACCGGCUAACUACGUG